rnacentral:rRNA from 1 species
AAGGGCACCACAAGAACGCGUGGAGCAUGUGGCUUAAUUUGACUCAACGCGGAAAAGCUUACCGGGUCCGGACACACUGAGGAUUGACAGGUUCCCGAAGUACGUACGUAAGGCGUACUAAGCAAAUAUGCUAGUCCUUUCAUGAUUGUGUGAUAGGUGGUGCAUGGCCGUUCUUAGUUCGUGGAGUAAUCUGUCUGCUUAAUUGCGCUAGUGAAAGAGGGUUGGUAUUUUAGUUUGCUCGGAUGGUUUUACCUACCCUAUGCAUUCUAUUGUGCCUUCCCAAAGGCAACGAACGUGACCACAACCCCUGGUUGUCAUGUAUUGAGGAACGAGGCGUUUUAAUGGUGGUGACAUCAAGUCGCUUAGUACUUUACCAUCUGAGUGAAAUAAGGCUUCCAGUGGGACAUCUGUACUUUUUAAGGCAGAGGAAGGUUGUGGCAAUAACAGGUCUGUGAUGCCCUUAGAUGUUCCGGGCCGCACACGUGCUACAAUGAUUUAUACAGUAAGCUUAUUCGAAUAUCUCGUAAUCAUUUUUUUGAUUUCGGGGCUAGCCUUCUUCGAAAGUAAGUAGGUAAUCAAUUCGAAAUAUAAAUUUCCGCCAGCAAUAUAGAUGUAUCACUUUUUAAGUGUUUAUGUCUGCAAACAUAUAACGAAUUUCAAGGUAGGGACAGACCAUUGUAAAUUGUUGGUCUCGUCUUAACUAGGAAUGCCUUGUACGGGUCUUUGGUUCAACAUACCACCCGGAAUAUUCCCUGCCCUUUGUACACACCGCCCGUC